rnacentral:rRNA from 1 species
AGGACGAACGCUGGCGGCGUGCUUAACACAUGCAAGUCGAGCGGUAAGGCCUUUCGGGGUACACGAGCGGCGAACGGGUGAGUAACACGUGGGUGAUCUGCCCUGCACUCUGGGAUAAGCCUGGGAAACUGGGUCUAAUACCGGAUAUGACCUGCUCUCGCAUGGGGGUGGGUGGAAAGAUUUUAUCGGUGCAGGAUGGGCCCGCGGCCUAUCAGCUUGUGGUGGGUAAUGGCCUACCAAGGCGACGACGGGUAGCCGACCUGAGAGGGUGACCGGCCACACUGGGACUGAGACACGGCCCAGACUCCUACGGGAGCAGCAGUGGGGAAUAUUGCACAAUGGGCGCAAGCCUGAUGCAGCAACGCCGCGUGGGGACGAAGGCCUUCGGGUGUAACCUCUUUAGUAGGAAGAAGCGAAAGUGAACGACCUAGCAAGAAAAGCGACCGGACUAACUACGUAGCCAGCACGCCGAC